GCCUACGGGAGGCAGCAGUCGAGAAUCAUUCACAAUGGGGGAAACCCUGAUGGUGCGACGACGCGUGGGGGAAUGAAGGUCUUCGGAUUGUAAAACCCUGUCAUGUGGGAGCAAAUUAAAAAGAUAGUACCACAAGAGGAAGAGACGGCUAACUCUGUGACAGCAGCCGCGGUAAUAAAGAGGUAUCAAGCGUUGUUCGGAAUCACUGGGCGUAAAGCGUGCGUAGGCUGUUUCGUAAGUAGUGUGUGAAAGGCGCGGGCUCAACCCGCGGACGGCACAUGAUACUGCGGGAGUAGAG
rnacentral:rRNA from 1 species